CCAGGUAACUCCUAGUGCUUGCAGUUUUGCGAAGAGUCCCUAGUGCCAUACUCAGUGGAAAUGUAGCAAUGUCCAGUGCUACUACACAGCUGACUGUGGAUUCACCUAGUGACUGGUGCCACUGAGUAGAGAAGUUUAACAACAGAUCAGCAGAAGAGUGACCUUUUCUAAAGCCAUAUUGACUGUCACAAAGAAGUGAAUGGUAGUGGAAAAACUCAUUCUCAUUUGUUGUGAGGUUAUUGUCUCGGGAAUCUUGUCAGUGAUUGACAAAACUGACACAAGUCUGUGGUUGUUGAUUUCCAUUCUGCUCUUCUUUUUGUGAACAGGGAAAUACAUUUGCCUCUUUCCAUUUACACUGCAAGGCACUGCUGAUAGAUGCGAGUUAGAGGUCCUGCUAGCUAGUCUGCACAUCUACUCAGCAAUCUUGGGCUCACCUAUCUGGUCCCACAGCCUUUUUCUUCCUCUCUGUCUGCCUAUACUCACCUAUUUGUAUUUCUCAGUUCCUCACGUAUGGACUUUGUGCCUAUUUUGAAUAUAAUAAUAAUAAUAAUAAUAAUAAUAAUCCACAAAGUAAAAGUGAGACUCAUUCCCCAUGGUGUCCACUGAUAGACAUGCUGUAGUCUCUAAAUAGAUAAUCACAUACAAAAAACCACAUAUUAUUAUUAUUAUGAUAAUGAAGAUGUUGCUUAUUACAAAGAGGUUCACCAUUACUGCCACACAGGAUGCUGGCCAUCUGUGAUGUCUCAGCAGAUCCUGGAGGAUCUAGAGAGUCCAUGACAAAGUGUACCACCAUUGACACACUCUUCUGUGUCUACGAUGCCGACCAGAAUAAAGACACUUAACAGCAUCAAGGGCCCUGGGGUACUGGUGUGCAGCAUAGACAAUAUGCCCACACAGCUGCCCAGGGAAGCCACGGAUUUCCUCGGGGUCUCUGCUGCUGCCUCACAUGUACGACAUCUUGCAGUCUGAUGCCUCCAAGCCCUUCGAGGAGCAGUCAUUCACCCACGAAGUGCUUGGGGUGUGGUAAUUGCUGUGCCAGGCUGUGUCUGCUGCAACAGUGAUCAACACAGCAACAUUGACCAGUCUGAGGAGUGGAAACAACCACACUAGUAACAUUUAGUGUUAUACCUGGAGAGGGUUACUCCAGGUAUGUGGAGAUGCAGCAACUGGUGACGUCGUCAAAGGUGGGCGGGGCCCACCUGUAAGGUAUUUCCAGGUUACAAGUUCACUGAAGUUUGGUUAUUGAAGCAGAUAGUAAUUAUAUUAGGUGGGAAGGUGGUGGGAGAGUACAGGAAAGAUUGUAAAGAAUUUAUAUCAAUAGUAGCUUAGUGGGAAGUAUUAGCUUAUCUCCUGACCAGAGAUGAAAUCUCUGGCCAGGAAAUAAUGGGGAAUGUAUUCUAUAGGUUACCUUGAAUGGGGUUUACCUGGAGUGGGUUUCGGGGGUCAACGCCCCUGCGGCCCAGUCUGAGAAUAGGCCUCACGGCUGUUAUUGCUGGCUGCACGCAAGCUGACAUACAAACCACAGCCCGGUUGGUCAGGUACUGAAUUAGAGAUAAAAAUUGGAGAAAUGGGUUGUAAAACUUAGAACUGAAGACAUUAUAUUUUAAGAAGUUUUAGUUAGUCGAACAUCUUUAUUAUGCAGCUGAUACACAUCCUGCAAGACUGUAGGACUCGGAAAUGAAAUGUGUGAUAUAUCAUGGCUCAGUUGGCUGCCUUCUAGCAUACAUCAGGGGGAUUACCAAUAGACCCCUGGCUGUCUUCAGGAAGGUGCUGGACAGGCAGUAUGCUAGGAGGCAGUUGAACAGUCUUGGGCCCCUGACAUUUAUUGUGUUUUCUUAAUGUGCUAGUGGCACCCCUGCUUUUCAUUGGGGGGAUGUUGCAUCGUCUGCCAAGGCUUUUGCUUUCGUAGGGAGUGAUUUUCGUGUGCAAGUUUGGUACUAAUUCCUCUAGGAUUUUCCAAGUGUAUAUAAUCAUGCAUCUCUCUCGCCUGCAUUCUAUGGAGUACAGGUUUAGGAACUUCAAAUGUUCCCAGUAAUUAAGGUGUUUUAUCUCAGUUAUGCGUGCUGUGAAGGUUCUCUGUACAUUUUCCAGGUCAGCAGUUUCACCUGCCUUGAAAGGUGCUGUUAGUGUGCAGCAAUAUUCCAGCCUACAUAGAACAAGUGACCUGAAGAGUGUCAUCAUGGGCUUGGCAUCCCUAGUUUUGAAGGUUCUCAUUAUCCAUCCUGUCAUUUUUUCUAGCAGAUGCAAUGGAUACAAUGUUAUGGUCCUUUAAGAAACUGUCUGUCUUCCACCAAGGUAGUGACCCAAACAAAGAAGAAAUGCUUUUGCCAUCACAGUCUUGCCAGAGUGGCACUGAUACUACACCUCAAAACUGCAAACGUCUCCACCCGUCCUUUAGGGUGCAGGUGCUGUAUAAUCAGUACAAGUUUAGAGCUUCCCAACGACUCUGAAGGUAAGUCUGUAAGGCUGGAUUAUAAAAGGCUGAACGGCUUGCCUUGUGAAACUCUUAUGUAUUGAGAGGAUCACUUUGUUAAUUAUUGUAAAAAGUGUAGUAGCAUCAUAAUUUUAUAUGUGUUUAAAGAUUAAUAAGUUUGUCAUCUCAUAAAAAUGGAAUAAUGUGAAUUUGUAAAAUACUUUUUUCGUUAGAUUUUGGACUUCAGGUUCUCAUCAACUUACAGUGGGGUUAUGUUCCCACAAAACCAUUGAAAAUAUUUUGUCAAAUAUGAAUUAUAUGAUAAGUCAAUAAAUAACUACUGUCACUGAAUAAUAAACAAAUAAUUACUCUAAAUACCAGUAUUGAAAAGUCAGUAAAUGAAUAAAAGUUAUGGACUUGUUGCCUUCAUAUUGGGUAAUUAUCUCAAGUUUCACCUCCAAAGUAAUUGUUGCCACAUCAUCGUAAAGUUGAAAUGUUUUUGAGUCAAAUCAUUGUAAGUUGGGGCGCACCUGUAGUGUGUGGUAUUGUGAUAAAAUAAGAGUCAUUUAUUGCAGGAAUGCUACUCUAGUACAUGUGUUUGAGGACACUUUCCAUUUUAUCACAGGAAUUUUUUUUGUAUGUAUUUCAAAGUUAA